rnacentral:lncRNA from 1 species
AUGUGAAUUCUUAAAUUAUUUGCAUUCGCAACUGCCUGUAUGAUAAUAUGGUCUGCCCAUGAGCCUAGCCUUGACAUAUUCUGUAAAUAAUGCGACCACGAUUGUUCAGUAGUAGACUCUAUGAAAUGUUCUGGGCAGUUUAUUAAAUGUUGGAUUGCAAGAGCUCUUAUUUGGGCAUGACGACUUUCUGUUCUGUAAAGCUGAUGACUUACACUACGAAAUAAACAGUUACCAUCACCGACAAUGUUCACUGGCUCUCGUCCUAUUCGAGCUAGUCUUGUGGUCAAUACUGACAUAUUUGAAGUACUUACG